rnacentral:misc_RNA from 1 species
UCGAGUUUUGAAAUGGGUUGUUUUGCUGGCCUUUUAACAGGCAUGUGCACGCCCUGCUCAUCCACUCUUAAACCCUUAUGUGCACCUUUGUAGAGUUCUUAGAAAUGUGUGAAAGUCUGGGCUGUAACAGGCUCUGACGGGAUCACGUCCCUAAGCUCUAUGUACAUUUUAAUACAAACGCUUCAGUUAUAGAAUGUCAUGACUUGCGUCUUUAUAACGCAUUAUAAUAUA